rnacentral:lncRNA from 1 species
UUUUCUUUUUGUUUAAGCUUCGUGUUUUUUUUCUUAAAGGGAAAAACCCCCAAGAGAGGAGGAGCCUGCAAGGCCCAGUUGGCCGGCCCAACAGACCCCCUGCCCUAGCGACCAGCAUCUCUCCCCCCGUGCGUCGUCUUCUUCCCCUCGUCCCGAGCCCCCUCUCGUUCUCCCCCCUCUACCCGAUCCAGCUCCUCCCGCCGUUCCCCUGCCCGAGCUGCUGCGUUCCCGCACGCCGCCCUCGGCCUCGACGCCCCUCGCCCUCGCCCUCGCCUCGCCGUCUCCCCGCGCGCCGCAGCCUCCCUCUUCCCGCAUCGUGAGGCCCCCCUCUCCAUGCAUCUCCUCUGCCCCUCCAGCCACCAGAGCUAGCGCCGCCGCAUCCCUUCUGCCUGCGCCGAGCUCCUCUGCCCUGCCGGAGUUUCUAGUGCCUCUUCUGGCCAACCAGCAGCUAACCACCUCACCGGCCCCUGAGCUUGCCUCCGCGCCGCAUCCCUUGCAUGGCUUCGCC